rnacentral:rRNA from 1 species
UGAGGAAUAUUGGUCAAUGGGCGAGAGCCUGAACCAGCCAAGUAGCGUGCAGGAUGACGGCCCUAUGGGUUGUAAACUGCUUUUAUAUGGGAAUAAAGUGAGGGACGUGUCCCUUAUUGCAUGUACCAUAUGAAUAAGGACCGGCUAAUUCCGUGCCAGCAGCCGCGGUAAUACGGAAGGUCCAGGCGUUAUCCGGAUUUAUUGGGUUUAAAGGGAGCGUAGGCUGUUUGUUAAGCGUGUUGUGAAAUGUAAGAGCUCAACUUUUAGAUUGCAGCGCGAACUGGCAGACUUGAGUGCGCACAACGUAGGCGGAAUUCAUGGUGUAGCGGUGAAAUGCUUAGAUAUCAUGACGAACUCCGAUUGCGAAGGCAGCUUACGGGAGCGCAACUGACGCUAAAGCUCGAAGGUGCGGGUAUCGAACAG